UGGGACGUAGCCAAGUGGUAAGGCAGCGGAUUUUGAUUCCGCCAUGCGGAGGUUCGAAUCCUCCCGUCCCAGCCA
rnacentral:tRNA from 1 species